AGUGUAAUUGCUGGGUCAUUGGGUAGUUCUAUUUUCAACUUUCUGAGGAACUUCCAUACUGUUUUCCAGAGUGGCUAUACCAGUUUGCAUUCCCAUCAGCAGU
rnacentral:pre_miRNA from 1 species